UCAUCAUACGAUUUCCUCAACCCCAGCUGGUAGUGAAUCCACGGUGGAUCACAGAGUCGAACAGUCUCACAUUGACCUGUAUGACUCCAUCAUCUGUGUCUGCGGCCGAGUGUGUUUUGUACUUUAUGAGGACAAAAACUUUCAGACCCGUCUCCUGCGUGGAGACGCUGGCGGGUGCAGAUCUUCUGGGGAUGGUGCAGGAGAGCUCACCUGCUGAUGUUCAACUAACAUGUUAUUACACCGUAGAGCAGAGAGGAGCACGAUAUCAGUCUCCACACAGUGAUACCUGCGAGGUGCACAUAGAAAGACUUGAGGAAAAGGUGUUUACAACUACCCAGAUCAUGUCAACCAGUGUGACCAAAGGUAGGAUAAACAUUUGAAUAAUUAUCUACAACAUUCGAUCAGGGUUUAUUGGCACCUGGCACCCCCUCUAACAUUUCCUUCGACCGCGGCGUUCAGUUUACGUCUGCUCUGUGGAACGCCACAGCUAGCAGUUUGGGGGUUAAACUCCACCGCGCCACGGCCUAC